rnacentral:rRNA from 1 species
UACGGGAGGCAGCAGUGGGGAAUUUUGGACAAUGGGCGAAAGCCUGAUCCAGCAAUGCCGCGUGUGUGAAGAAGGCCUUCGGGUUGUAAAGCACUUUUGUCCGGAAAGAAAACCUCCGCCCUAAUAUGGUGGGGGGAUGACGGUACCGGAAGAAUAAGCACCGGCUAACUACGUGCCAGCAGCCGCGGUAAUACGUAGGGUGCAAGCGUUAAUCGGAAUUACUGGGCGUAAAGCGUGCGCAGGCGGUCCGCUAAGACAGAUGUGAAAUCCCCGGGCUUAACCUGGGAACUGCAUUUGUGACUGGCGGGCUAGAGUAUGGCAGAGGGGGGUAGAAUUCCACGUGUAGCAGUGAAAUGCGUAGAGAUGUGGAGGAAUACCGAUGGCGAAGGCAGCCCCCUGGGCCAAUACUGACGCUCAUGCACGAAAGCGUGGGGAGCAAACAGGAUUAGAUACCCUGGUAGUCCACGCCCUAAACGAUGUCAACUAGUUGUUGGGGAUUCAUUUCCUUAGUAACGUAGCUAACGCGUGAAGUUGACCGCCUGGGGAGUACGGUCGCAAGAUUAAAACUCAAAGGAAUUGACGGGGACCCGCACAAGCGGUGGAUGAUGUGGAUUAAUUCGAUGCAACGCGAAAAACCUUACCUACCCUUGACAUGUAUGGAACCCUGCUGAGAGGUGGGGGUGCCCGAAAGGGAGCCAUAACACAGGUGCUGCAU